rnacentral:rRNA from 1 species
AGCGAACGCUGGCGGCAGGCCUAACACAUGCAAGUCGAACGAUCCUUCGGGAUAGUGGCGGACGGGUGAGUAACACGUGGGAACGUGCCCUUUGGUUCGGAACAACUCAGGGAAACUUGAGCUAAUACCGAAUGUGCCCUUCGGGGGAAAGAUUUAUCGCCAUUGGAGCGGCCCGCGUCUGAUUAGCUAGUUGGUGAGGUAAUGGCUCACCAAGGCGACGAUCAGUAGCUGGUCUGGGAGGAUGAUCAGCCACACUGGGACUGAGACACGGCCCAGACUCCUACGAGAGGCAGCAGUGGGGAAUCUUGCGCAAUGGGCGAAAGCCUGACGCAGCCAUGCCGCGUGAAUGAUGAAGGUCUUAGGAUUGUAAAAUUCUUUCACCGGGGACGAUAAUGACGGUACCCGGAGAAGAAGCCCCGGCUAACUUCGUGCCAGCCGCCGCAGUAAAAC